UACCUACGGGGGGCAGCAGUGGGGAAUAUUGCACAAUGGGGGGAACCCUGAUGCAGCGACGCCGCGUGAGUGAAGAAGUAUUUCGGUAUGUAAAGCUCUAUCAGCAGGGAAGAAAUAAAGUCCUUCGGACUUUGGACGGUACCUGACUAAGAAGCCCCGGCUAACUACGUGCCAGCAGCCGCGGUAAUACGUAGGGGGCAAGCGUUAUCCGGAUUUACUGGGUGUAAAGGGAGCGUAGACGGCAGCGCAAGUCUGGAGUGAAAUCCCAUGGCUUAACCAUGAAACUGCUUUGGAAACUGUGCAGC
rnacentral:rRNA from 1 species